rnacentral:rRNA from 1 species
CUGACCUCAAAUCAGGUAGGGCUACCCGCUGAACUUAA